ensembl:lncRNA
AAAGGAGGGAAGUGAGGAGCUGUGUGUGGGCGGGUAAGAUCCGUAUGAAACGGCGAAUCAAUACUUUAUUAUGCCUCUAAGAGCUCCGCAAUCUGUCCUGAGCGCACUAGCUGACCGGGGGUUAGUUGGUUUUCUGUUGUGUAAACUAAAAGUGGCUACCUGCACACUCGGAAAUCGUGAACUUUCUUUGCACUCUGCCGGCGCCUAGCACUCGGUUCUGCAUGUCUUGGGGCAGGCUUAGAGACGGCGCACACCGACGGGACAUACGGAGUGAGACGGAUGCAUGCAAAGUGGCAGCUGAGCUGAAGCCACAUUUGCUGCACAUUUAAAUCGUACCACCACGUACCACGUUUGGCACAAUAACGGCUGACUUGAACGCACAGCAUGGGCGGAGAACCCCCUGGAGGGAGCAGCAGCAGCAGCGUCGGCGAAAGUGGACAGGAGCAGUACCAGGCUUUAGCCUUCGACACCGCCGUCAGUACUCUAGUGGCUGUAGCCGUGUACGUGGUGGUCAAAGUCAGCCUGGACGGCUUCAGACAGUGGCGCUCCAAGAUCUCCGUGUUAAUAGUGGGCUCGGGACCGAUCGGCCUGACCGCAGCGUUGGUCGCUGUCCGCUCGGGGAAGGUGCUGAAGCUGACAGUGCUCGACGAGCGGUGCCGGAGCGCCCUGCUCUGCCGGCCCCAGCAGAUCGCCCUGGACCCCCGCAGUGUGGGGUUUCUGCUGGGGUUAGGGGUGGACUUUGAUAAUAUGGAGGGGUGCUGGCACAACGAGCACUUUUUCACCAAGAUCGGGGUGUUUCAGGAGUAUUUGUUGAGCAUCUUGGAGCAGAAGAAGCAGAAGGUCGACGUCCGUGUACAGCUGGGAACCAAGCUCGCCAGGAUGUCUUAUGAUGCAAAUAUAGCCCCCUUGAAUAACCGUCCUCUACAGUCAUACACAUCGUUCUUGGACUGCUGAUGAGUCAUGCUAAACGGAGUCCUUAGCUUCUCUGUAUACCUGCCUGCUGUUACUUCUGCAGAACCAGGGCACGUCAGAGUUACUGAUCCAUGCACAGGGGCUACAGGGACCUUCUCUAGGGAGG